GUUCAUGUUAAAUAUGUGUUUAUUCCACUUUAUUACUUAACAUUAAAUCACUGUUGUUGUGUAAUAUUUUGGUUACUUUUUGGUGAAGAGUUAAAUAAUUUCAAAUGCCAGCUUCUUGGACUCUCUAAUCUAGUAUUGCCAUAUAUUGGAUCAUUGCACAUACCCUUGUCCACAGACCUCCUUUAUGUGGGGGCAUUGAGUGGAUAUAUGUAAUAUCUCGAUCACUAGCUAGGAAGUACAUUAUAUCUCAAUCACCAACUAUAAACACUAUAUAUUAAAUUUCAUUGUUUGCCCUUCCUUGUACCACUUUUGGUAGGCACUAACCACUGCGGACCCCCCACAAGACUUGCUGUCUUGGAGAUGAUAUGAUCCAGUUGCCUGCCCAUCACUGUCUGGCUCUUGUCAAAGACACUCAGAACCUUUCGUUUGCCCGUUUUUGCUGCUUCCAACACAUCAAAUUCAAGAACUGACUGUUCACUUGCUGCCUAAUAUAUCCCAACCCUUGACAGGUGCCAUUGUAACAAUAUAAUGAAUGUUAUUCACUUCACCUGUCAGUGGAUUUCAUGUUGUGGUUUAUUAGUGUAUGCAUAUAUCCUUGGAGAUGAAGUUAGUUAAUACCCCUUAUUACUCCUUCCUCUGAUCCUUGUAGCUGAUAAAUAUAUUCAUCUUUUGAAACAUUAUCCAAACCCCUAUGAUACCUAAUUUUAGCUUGCUAUACCAAAACUGUGCAAUGCCUUAUUUCAUGUGGCUAUGUGUAUGGGCUGUUUGGUAGUCACAAGUCACAAUGAGGGUGAUAUAUGAAAGUGCUACUAAGGGGGAAAAAAUAGGGCAAUCGCCACGGAAACCAAAGGAAUAAACAAGGACAUUCUGACGGUUUCCACGGUGAUUAUUAUUAGAAACGUGUCCCAGUUUUCUAUUUAAAACUCUUUUAUUAAUCGCUCCAUAUUUACGUCCUCUCAUUUGGCUGACACCCUCUAUUAAUAUGUCGUCUUUGUAUUAUGGUGACGAAACUCAAACUUUAAGGGGAGAUCAAUCUUUUUGAAAGAGAAGAUCCCAGUAUUGACAGACGCUGCAGUUACACCUUAUUAUAUGUUAAUAUUUCUGUGAGCGUGAAUUGAGUUAACAAGAAUUCCCUGUGCUAACUUGGGUUUGUGACGAUAAUGCCACAUUAGCUGUCAGCAUAUGGCCAACUGUGAAAAGACACAAAAUAGGCAUUCUGCAUCACGCCAUAUGUUCAUCCUUCACCCCUUAAAUGGGUGGAUCUGGAUCGGUGGGGUAAGACAGUAUCAUUAAAUUAAUAUUGUAAGUGUAUCUGCGUAAGAGAUGCAGGUUCUAUUCUGUUGUCUGGGAAUAAGCUGCAUUGAUGAAAAG